ensembl:lncRNA
GUUUGAAAUCUGCUAAUUUUCCAAUCAGAGUGAGUGUUUGCACUUGUGAUUUGGAAAUAAUUACAAGAUGGUAAAAGCAAAGCCGAUGUGGGGAUUAAAGUAAAGGUGGGGGAGGACAGGGGCUUAUUUUGGCAUCUUCCGGGGAACCUCCGGUUAGCAUAUGCAGAUUCGCUGGGCGCCUCUGGGGUCGGGAUGGGAAAGCUCACCUGUAGCGCCCGUUAUGCAAAAGCUGUUUACUUCCUGCGCUAAUACCCCUGAAAGGUGACCACUGAAAGGAAGAGCAGUGUGGCCUUCGUAGGCCUGAAUUGGGUCUGGAAAGAGAAGAGACUUUUAAAUUUGGCUAUUUCAUCUAAAAUUAAUCUACACUUUUGCUUAAAUCUCUCUUCAGUCUAAAGCUUCUGCAUGAGUUAGAAAUACAAACAGUUCCUUGGUGGCGGAAGUGGUGAGAAUGAUGCUUCUGGUCCUGGGACCACACUUUGAGAACCACUGCUCUACUCUCUGGAGAAAAGUCUGUGUAUGCCAGUGAGAAGGGUGCUCUGCUUCUGAAGAAAGAAAGAGAAACGUGAAGAAUUUAGAAAAAGAUGGAAUGCUCAGGGACCUGCCUCAUGCUGCCCAUCCUCCACACCAUCGCAAUUCCAGUCCUCCUGGAUUCCCCCUUCUAAAUAUUUCUGAAAGACCCCUGCUGAAGUCCAUGCUCACACAGGUCCAUCCUGGGCAGGGCUGUCGCCCCAGCCAGCCUGUGUCUGCAGAGGAGUUCACUUUCCCUGGAGCAGGGAUCAUGGACCCAGAUUAAGAAGUCCACAGCUAAAGGGAUUCUUCUGUCUCUAAAAUGCAGCGUUUCUAAGUCCUUUCCCUAGAAGUUGCAUUUUCACGACUCUCUCCCCAGUGACCUUUUGUAACCAUUUUCAUGGCUUGAUACAACAACAACAACGAAUGAAAUGGACAGGGUGUGCUAAUUCAUGAAACAAGCUGAGUGUUGGGGCUGCCCCAAGACGUUCUGUUUCGUAAUGAAUGAUUUCCACCUCGUGGCAGCACUUUCUUUCUACACCUGUGUCUUUGACACUUGCCAUACAGGAUCCAAUGCCAAGUCCCAAAGGUUCAGUUUCUUAAAUCAUGAAAGGACUGACUCCGAGUUCUUGGCCUCUUGCUUCCAGCUGUGUCCGCAUCAGGUCGAAGCUAUGCUGUAAUACACAUAAGCACCACCAGAUGGCAUCCUUGGGAAAGUCUUGCCUUGCGCGUUGCUUUCCCAGCUCUGACGUCUAUUCUAAACAUAGCCUGGUAAAAUGCUUGUGGAAGAAGGAAGAGAAUCUAUUAUGGGGGAGGAAAAACACCAAUGACAAGACAGCCUAGCACUUUCCUGGGUUUUGGUAUACAGAGUCAAGCCUUGAUUACUUUCUUCUACUUCUUAAUUAUCAGCUUUUCAAGGCAGAUGCAUAGGUUUAUAUAAUACAGAAGCAUUUCUUUCAUACACAUGCAUAUAUUUUUUGCCUCUACUGAUGCUCUAUGUGACUUAGAAGCUGCUCAUAAUUUAGAGGAAGAGCCUGUUCUUCUUUUGGAUUCUAAACUUGCACAUUCAUUCUUUUAUUGCCUCUGUCCUCCACUUCCAGUAAGAAUAUUCAGUUUGCACGGAAACCUCAUAAAAGGCCUUUCUGGGAAGGGAAAAGCUCAGUAAGAUCAGCUCUCUCUGCUGUGAAUCUCAGGCCAACUGGAAAGAAGAUCAAAGAGAAAGAAGAGGGCAGAGUGGACUUGGAUGGAAAGCAUGAUUGUCCCUGAAAGUGACCUGUCGGUUCCAUCUUCUCUUUUGCUCCUUCCAAAUUUUUCUUAAAAAACAGUUUUUUAAAAACCCAUGUUCAUGCUACAUUAAGCCUCAUGUUUCCAUUUCCCAUUUUACUGCUCAGGGUGGCACUUGCUGCCACUUGGUAAACUUACUUAAGAGGGGGAAUGAUGUC